rnacentral:rRNA from 1 species
UACGAAGGGGGCGAGCGUUGUUCGGAAUUACUGGGCGUAAAGCGCGUGUAGGCGGGUCUUUAAGUCAGGGGUGAAAUGCCAAGGCUCAACCUUGGAACUGCCUUUGAUACUGGAGACCUUGAGUCCGGGAGAGGUGAGUGGAAUUGCGAGUGUAGAGGUGAAAUUCGUAGAUAUUCGCAAGAACACCAGUGGCGAAGGCGGCUCACUGGCCCGGAACUGACGCUGAGACGCGAAAGCGUGGGGAGCAAACAGG